UACGUAGGGACCAAGCGUUGUCCGGAUUUACUGGGCGUAAAGAGCGCGCAGGCGGUCGUUCAAGUCGCGUGUGAAAGCCCCCGGCUCAACUGGGGAGGGUCACGCGAUACUGAUCGACUCGAAGGCAGGAGAGGGUAGUGGAAUUCCCGGUGUAGUGGUGAAAUGCGUAGAUAUCGGGAGGAACACCAAUGGCGAAGGCGACUACCUGGCCUGUUCUUGACGCUGAGGCGCGAAAGCUAGGGGAGCAAACGGG
rnacentral:rRNA from 1 species